GCAGUGGUAGUUCAGUGGUAGAAUUCUCACCUUCCAUGCAGGAGACCUGGGUUCAAUUCCCAGUCACUGCA
rfam:Loxodonta africana unplaced genomic scaffold scaffold_18, whole genome shotgun sequence.